UACGUAGGGCGCAAGCGUUAUCCGGAAUUAUUGGGCGUGAAGAGCUCGUAGGCGGUUUGUCGCGUCUGCCGUGAAAGUCCGGGGCUCAACUCCGGAUCUGCGGUGGGUACGGGCAGACUAGAGUGAUGUAGGGGAGACUGGAAUUCCUGGUGUAGCGGUGAAAUGCGCAGAUAUCAGGAGGAACACCGAUGGCGAAGGCAGGUCUCUGGGCAUUAACUGACGCUGAGGAGCGAAAGCAUGGGGAGCGAACAGG
rnacentral:rRNA from 1 species